rnacentral:rRNA from 1 species
UACGUAGGGGGCAAGCGUUGUCCGGAAUCAUUGGGCGUAAAGCGCGUGUAGGCGGCUGAGUAAGUCCGCUCUGAAAGCCCGGGGCUCAACCCCGGGAGGCGGGUGGAUACUGCUCAGCUCGAGUCCGGAAGAGGCGAGUGGAAUUCCUGGUGUAGCGGUGAAAUGCGCAGAUAUCAGGAGGAACACCAAUGGCGAAGGCAGCUCGCUGGGACGGUACUGACGCUGAGACGCGAAAGCGUGGGGAGCAAACAGG